UUUAUAAUAGUUAAAAGAUAACAAAGGACUUAAAAUCCUUAAUUGGAGGCGAGACACCUCCUUAUAAGU
rnacentral:tRNA from 1 species